rnacentral:tRNA from 1 species
UCUUUGGUAGUAUAGUGGUAAGUAUUCCCGCCUGUCACGCGGGAGACCGGGGUUCAAUUCCCCGCCGGGGAG